rnacentral:rRNA from 1 species
GACGAACGCUGGCGGCGUGCCUAAUACAUGCAAGUAGAACGCUGAAGGAGGAGCUUGCUUCUCUGGAUGAGUUGCGAACGGGUGAGUAACGCGUAGGUAACCUGCCUGGUAGCGGGGGAUAACUAUUGGAAACGAUAGCUAAUACCGCAUAAUAGUAGAUGUUGCAUGACAUUUGCCUAAAAGGUGCAAUUGCAUCACUACCAGAUGGACCUGCGUUGUAUUAGCUAGUUGGUGGGGUAACGGCUCACCAAGGCGACGAUACAUAGCCGACCUGAGAGGGUGAUCGGCCACACUGGGACUGAGACACGGCCCAGACUCCUACGGGAGGCAGCAGUAGGGAAUCUUCGGCAAUGGACGGAAGUCUGACCGAGCAACGCCGCGUGAGUGAAGAAGGUUUUCGGACCGCAAAGCUCUGUUGUAAGAGAAGAACGAGUGUGAGAGUGGAAAGUUCACACUGUGACGGUAUCUUACCAGAAAGGGACGGCUAACUACGUG